UCCCGCCACCCAAGAUGCCAAAAGGAAAGAAGGCCAAGGGGAAGAAGGUGGCUCCGGCCCCUGCUGUCGUGAAGAAGCAGGAGGCUAAUCCCCUGUUUGAGAAAAGGCCUAAGAAUUUUGGCAUUGGACAGGACAUCCAGCCCAAAAGAGACCUCACCCGCUUUGUGAAAUGGCCCCGCUAUAUCCGGUUGCAGCGGCAGAGAGCCAUCCUCUAUAAGCGGCUGAAAGUGCCUCCUGCAAUUAACCAGUUCGCCCAGACCCUGGACCGCCAAACAGCUACUCAGCUGCUUAAGCUGGCCCACAAGUAUAGACCAGAGACGAAGCAAGAGAAGAAGCAGAGGCUGUUGGCCCGGGGCCAAGAAGAAAGCAGCUGGCAAAGGGGACGUCCCCACUAAGAGACCACCUGUCCUUCGAGCAGGAGUUAACACUGUCACCACCAAGAAAGCUCAGCUGGUGGUGAUUGCACACGACGUGGAUUCCAUUGAGCUGGUUGUCUUCUUGCCUGCCCUGUGUCGUAAAAUGGGAGUCCCUUACUGCAUUAUCAAGGGGAAGACAAGACUGGGACGUCUAGUCCACAGGAAGACCUGUACCACUGUCGCCUUCACUCAGGUUAACUUGGAAGAUAAAGGUGCUUUGGCUAAGCUGGUGGAAGCUAUCCGCACCAACUACAAUGACAGGUAGGAUGAGAUCCACCGUUACGGGGGAGGCAAUGCCCUGGGUCCCAAAUCUGUGGCUCGAAUUGCCAAGCUCGAAAACGCAAAGGCUAAAGAACUUGCCACGAAACUGGGUUAAAUGUACACUGU